GGGGGAACCAAACUUCAAACUUAGGAAGCCUGGCUCCAGACUCCGUAUCUGUCACCACUACAUUCCUGCUCCCUAGUAAAUAAAUCUCCCAGCAGAGCACAGUAAACAAAGUUAGUAGUCAAUAAAGACUGCUCUUCUCUCUCCCUUCUCUCCCCAGUUUAUAAGUAAAGGAACUAAAAGAAAAAAUUGAGCAACCUGCCAGAGAUCAAACUAGGGAGAGGAAAGCUGGACUCAAACCAGACUUCUAUUCAAGCAGACUCCUAGCCAGUCUCCUGGCCUCCACUCUGACCUAUUCAGCUCUAAAGGAAAUCACAGAGAACCUGGAAUGUCCACUACCUUUGAGGUAAGGAAAACUGGAGUCUGACCAAAGCACUUAGAGUCAGAGAAUAUCAGAUCCCAAGGGCAAAGAGCACCUGACAAAGAGGGUCAAUGACAACAACAGUGGAGACACAAAAUUUGUUGUCAGAUAUGGAAAUGUGGUGCAGUUUAUGGCUAGAGCAGUUUAUUAUUUUUUUUUAAUUUUAUUUAAAUCCAAGUUAAUUAACAUAUAGUGUAAUAUUGGUUUCAGGAGUAGAAUUUAGUGAUUCAUCACUUACCUAUAACAACCAGUGUUCAUCCCAGCAAGUAAUGCCCAUUACGCGUUUAGCCCAUCCC
rnacentral:lncRNA from 1 species